rfam:Myotis davidii contig45885, whole genome shotgun sequence.
GGCGGUUCUCGAUGACACACCCCAAAAUCGGGCCCCCUCCUCUCUGAUUCCAGGUGCAUCACCCGAGAACGGCA